ACACAGAAGGCAGGAUCUGCGAUGACUUCCACCAUUGUCUGGUGCCCUCUCCUACUGAACCUCCUUGCUCACUGCACAGGGUCCUGGGCCCAGUCUUUGCUAAUUCAGCCACCUUCUGUGUCUGGGUCCCUGGGCCAGACAGUCACCAUCUCCUGCACUGGAAGCAGCUCCAACAUUGG